UAUUCAAGCAACACAAUGACAACCUGAUAGCAAACAGAAAUAUCAUUAAUUAAAGAGCUGUCAACUCCUUCACGAUGAAGUGCUUCACUUUGUGUUGUUUCAAGCAGCUUUUCAUACUUUUGGCCACAGGAUGGAGCCAAACAGAACUGUGUUGGAAAGCUUCGAGUAAUGAACCCUUUUUCAAAGCAAGCUUCAGUGCUUCAGAAAAGCCUCAUUUGCCCAUCACUAAGAAAAACCUACAAU